rnacentral:rRNA from 1 species
GCCUACGGGACGCAGCAGUGAGGAAUAUUGGUCAAUGGGAUUACGCCUGAACCAGCCAAGUCGCGUGAGGGAAGACUGCCCUAUGGGUUGUAAACCUCUUUUGUCAGGGAGCAACGCCGGCUACGUGUAGCCGGACAGAGUGUACCUGAAGAAAAAGCAUCGGCUAACUCCGUGCCCGCAGCCACGGUAAUACGGAGGAUGCGGGCGUUAUCCGGAUUUAUUGGGUUUAAAGGGUGCGUAGGCGGAAUGCCAAGUCAGCGUUAAAAUCGCGGGGCUCAACCUCGCUCCGCCGUUGAAACUGGCGU